UCGUGUACUUGGAACCAUGGAGGAGCCACACUUUCAGGUGGAGCUUCUCCAGUUGUGGAUGGAAGAGCUGACCAUUGUCCUGGGAUAGGAGGUCUGACCUCAUCAAGAGAGUUCGUGGAGGGCAGACUGACAUGCACAGCAGCUCCUGAAACUGUUUGAAAUCGUCACAUCAGAGUGAAUGGAGGUGGAAUGACGGCUUCAUUUGGAGACGAGGACAAGCUGUAUUCUGGGGACAGCAUCUCUGUAGGGGAAGAAGCUACAGCACUGCCCAUAGCUCCCUCUUCAGCCAAGGACGGUUGAGAAGAAACUGAGCGGGUUGGGCCAUGUGCGCUCUGCACAGACUCAAAUGAUGCCAUGAAACAACAGCUGCGCAUGCACGGCCCAACCAGGCACUGCUACUGAAGAGCUCCGAUCAACGGUGCCAGGACGCAUGGUCACCCGGAGUGGAGUACCCACAGGGACAGCACUCG